UACGUAGGCAGCAAGCGUUGUUCGGAGUUACUGGGCGUAAAGAGUGCGUAGGUGGUGCCCUAAGUCUGUUGUGAAAUCUCCCGGCUUAACUGGGAGGGUGCGGUGGAAACUGGGGUGCUUGAGUGUGGGAGAGGUAAGCGGAAUUCCUGGUGUAGCGGUGAAAUGCGCAGAUAUCAGGAGGAACACCGGUGGCGAAGGCGGAUCUCUGGGCCUUACCUGACGCUGAGGCGCGAAAGCUAGGGGAGCGAACAGG
rnacentral:rRNA from 1 species